rnacentral:lncRNA from 1 species
AAACCCAAAACAAUGGGAGUGACAUGCAAACCGGAACCCAAAACAAUGGGAGUGAUGUGCUUAAACCGGAACCCAAAACAAUGGUAGUGACCCGCUAAAGCAGAAACCCAAAACAAUGGGAGUGUCCUGCUAAACCAGAAACCCAAAACAAUGGGAGUGACGUGUAAAACCAGAAACCCAAAACAAUGGGAGCGUCAUGCUAAAACCAGAAACCCAAAACAAUGGGAGGGUCCUGCUAAACCAGAAACCCAAAACAAUGGGAGUGAAGUGCUAAAACCAGAAACCCAAAACAAUGGGAGUGUCCUGCUACACCAGAAACCCAAAACGAUGGGAGUGACGUGAUAAAACCAGACACCCAAAACAAUGGGAGUGACGUGCUAAACCAGAAACCCAAAACAAUGGGAGUGACGUGCUAAAACCUGGAAACCCAAAACAAUGGGAGUGAGGUGCUAAAACCAGAACCCAAAACAAUGUGAGUGACGUGCUAAACCAGAACCCAAAACAAUGGGAGUGACGUGCUAAAACAGGAACCCAAAACAAUGAGAGUGACGUGCUAAACCAGAAACCCAAAACAAUGGGAAUGACGUGCUAAAACCGGAACCCAAAACAAUGGUAACUAAGAGUGAUGCUAAGGCCCUACAUUUUGGUCACACUCUCAACUAAGUGAGAACUUGACUGAAAAGGAGGAUUUUUUUUUUCUAAGACAGAGUUUUGGUCUGUCCCCCAGAGUGGAGUGCAGUGGCAUGAU